rnacentral:rRNA from 1 species
AUCAUGGCUCAGGAUGAACGCUAGCUACAGGCUUAACACAUGCAAGUCGAGGGGCAGCAUGGUCUUAGCUUGCUAAGGCCGAUGGCGACCGGCGCACGGGUGAGUAACACGUAUCCAACCUGCCGUCUACUCUUGGACAGCCUUCUGAAAGGAGAUUAAUACAAGAUGGCAUCAUGAGUCCGCAUGUUCACAUGAUUAAAGGGUAUUCCCGGGUAGACCGAUGGGGG